rnacentral:rRNA from 1 species
GAUGAACGCUGGCGGCGUGCCUAAUACAUGCAAGUAGAACGCUGAAGGCGGAGCUUGCUCUUCUGGAUGAGUUGCGAACGGGUGAGUAACGCGUAGGUAACCUGCCUGGUAGCGGGGGAUAACUAUUGGAAACGAUAGCUAAUACCGCAUGAUAACAGCUAUUGCAUGAUAUUUGUUUAAAAGGUGCAACUGCUCCACUACCAGAUGGACCUGCGUUGUAUUAGCUAGUUGGUGGGGUAACGGCUCACCAAGGCGACGAUACAUACCCGACCUGAGAGGGUGAUCGGCCACACUGGGACUGAGACACGGCCCAGACUCCUACGGGAGGCAGCAGUAGGGAAUCGUCGGCAAUGGACGGAAGUCUGACCGAGCAACGCCGCGUGAGGGAAGAAGGGUUUCGGAUCGUAAAGCUCUGUUGUAAGAGAAGAACGAGUGUGAGAGUGGAAAGUUCACACUGUGACGGUAUCUUACCAGAAAGGGACGGCUAACUACGUG